UAAUUUCAACCAAGCCCUCUAUAACACCAAUAAAACGCGCGAAUACACCUCCAGAAUCAAAUUCACGCAAAACGGCACAUAAAAUAUCGCAACUUCUGCAAAAUUACCGUUUUGCCAUCACCGACCUCUCCUCGAACAACGCGCAUUCUCCGCAGAUCCGCCCAUGAGAUUUGCGAACAAAUCGCACCAGUGCGGUCAGCACGACGGAGACAACAAAGCUGCGAUUUUGGUUCACCUCAAACGAUCACGGAUUCACGACGAAAUCCAUUCUUUCUCUCCAAAAGACAAAGUGACACACAAAUACAUAUAAAACAUGUAUUUUCAGAUUUUCUCAAAAUCCGUGUGUCAAACUCAAAAUCCGUUAGCGCCAUCGGCUCUAGAAUAACCAAACUAUUCGAAACGAGCUAUUGGACUGCUAUGAACGGAGUCCGAUACGCGCCAGAAGCCAACUUCGCACCGUGGCUUCUCCGGAAAAUCGAGUUACUAUUCACUUUAAGUGAAACUUGGAGAUCGCGUAAAAUCUCCGUUCUAAUUCGUUUUCUCCCGAAACUUGAUGAGUGCUUUUGUAAUUAAAAUACACACCAAAACAUCGUCAACAGAGAGUUUAUCUACACUGCCAAAAUCUCAGUCCUUACAUUUCUUUUCUCUUUACAUCACAUAUACACAUCACAAGUCUUUCAUCUAUGUCAUUUAAACAUCAUUUACAACACAACCAAAAGUUGUCA
rnacentral:lncRNA from 1 species